rnacentral:tRNA from 1 species
GCUCCUAUAGCUCAAUUGGCAGAGCGGCAGAUUUAUACCCUGCAAGCGCCAGAUUAGCGCGUGGUCUGAGUUCGAGUCUCAGUGGGAGCA